GACGAACGCUGGCGGCGUGCUUAACACAUGCAAGUCGAGCGGAAAGACCCUGCUUUUGCGGGGUGCUCGAGUGGCGAACGGGGGAGUAACACGCGAGUAACCUCCCCUUGACUGUCGGAUAACUUCAGGAAACUGGGGCUAAUACCGGAGAGGAGCUCCUGCUGCAUGGGGGGGGAUGGAAAGUUUCGGCUGUUGGGGAUGGUCUCGCGGGUUAUCAGCUGGUUUGGGGGGUAGUGGCGGCCCAAGGCUUUGAAGGGUAGCCGGCCUGAGAGGGUGGCCGGCGUCAUUGGGCCUGCGGGAGGGACCAGACUCGUACGGGACGCAGCGGUGGGAAAUAUUGCGCAAUGGGCGGAAGCCUGAUGUAGAGGCGCCGCGUGCGUAAUGCUGGCUUAUGGGUUGUAAACAACUUUGGACUGUGCCGAGGCGUGAGUGACGGUAAUGAGUAAAGAAGCACCGGCUAACUACGUG
rnacentral:rRNA from 1 species